rnacentral:rRNA from 1 species
GAGUUUGAUCCUGGCUCAGAUUGAACGCUGGCGGCAUGCUUUACACAUGCAAGUCGAACGGCAGCGAGUUGAGUGGCGGAUAGUGGCGGACGGGUGAGUAACGCGUGGGUAAUCUGCCCUUAAGAGGGGGAUAACAGUUGGAAACGACUGCUAAUACCGCAUACGCUGACGAGACCUUGCGGUCUUGUCAGGAAAGGUGGCCUCUUAACAAUGCUACCGCUUAAGGAUGAGCCCGCGUCUGAUUAGCUAGUAGGUGGGGUAACGGCCCACCUAGGCGACGAUCAGUAGCCGGCCUGAGAGGGUGUACGGCCACACUGGAACUGAGACACGGUCCAGACUCCUACGGGAGGCAGCAGUGGGGAAUAUUGCGCAAUGGGGGAAACCCUGACGCAGCGACGCCGCGUGAGCGACGAAGGCCUUCGGGUUGUAAAGCUCUGUUCUAAGGGACGAACGGCUCUUCUGUGAACAAUGGGGGAGAAUGACGGUACCUUAGGAGAAAGCCCCGGCUAACUACGUGCCAGCAGCCGCGGUAAUACGUAGGGGGCGAGCGUUGUCCGGAAUUACUGGGCGUAAAGAGCGUGUAGGCGGGUAUUUAAGUCAGGUGUGAAAGACCGGGGCUCAACUCCGGGGUUGCACUUGAAACUGGAUAUCUUGAGGGCAGGAGAGGAAAGCGGAAUUCCUGGUGUAGCGGUGAAAUGCGUAGAUAUCAGGAGGAACACCGGUGGCGAAGGCGGCUUUCUGGACUGACCCUGACGCUGAGACGCGAAAGCGUGGGGAGCAAACAGGAUUAGAUACCCUGGUAGUCCACGCUGUAAACGAUGGGCACUAGGUGUAGGAGGUAUCGACCCCUUCUGUGCCGCAGCUAACGCAAUAAGUGCCCCGCCUGGGGAGUACGGUCGCAAGGCUGAAACUCAAAGGAAUUGACGGGGGCCCGCACAAGCGGUGGAGCAUGUGGUUUAAUUCGAUGCAACGCGAAGAACCUUACCGGGUCUUGACAUCCAACGAAUCUGGUGGAAACACCGGAGUGCUUUUCGGAGAGCGUUGAGACAGGUGGUGCAUGGUUGUCGUCAGCUCGUGUCGUGAGAUGUUGGGUUAAGUCCCGCAACGAGCGCAACCCUUGCUGUUAGUUGCUAACAGGUGAUGCUGAGCACUCUAGCAGGACUGCCGGUGACAAACCGGAGGAAGGUGGGGAUGACGUCAAAUCAUCAUGCCCUUUAUGAUCCGGGCUACACACGUGCUACAAUGGCCGGUACAGAGAGAAGCGAAGCCGCGAGGUGGAGCAAAUCUCAAAAAGCCGGUCACAGUUCGGAUUGCAGGCUGCAACUCGCCUGCAUGAAGUCGGAAUCGCUAGUAAUCGCGAAUCAGCACGUCGCGGUGAAUGCGUUCCCGGGCCUUGUACACACCGCCCGUCACACCACGAAAGUCGGCAACACCCGAAGCCGGUGGGCUAACCCGGCACUCAAGUGGUGAGAAAACCAUUGAAGGUUGGAGCUGAAUUCAGCAGAGAAGACCAUAGAAGGAGUUCUCACUAGUUGAGUGCCGGGAGGCAGCCGUCGAAGGUGGGGCUGGUGAUUGGGGUGAAGUCGUAACAAGGUAUCCGU